rnacentral:rRNA from 1 species
GUGAUAUGACAGCUCGUGUCGUGAGAUGUCAGCUCGUGUCGUGAGAUGUUGGGUUAAGUCCCGCAACGAGCGCAACCCUCAUCCUUAGUUGCCAUCAGGUAAUGCUGAGUACUUUAAGGAAACUGCCAGUGAUAAGCUGGAGGAAGGUGGGGAUGAUGUCAAGUCAUCAUGGCCUUUAUGGAGUGGGCUACACACGUGCUGACAGCUAGCGUCAUGGGAAGCCAGCAUCGGGAAAUGCCGGGGAACCUUAAGGAAACUGUCAAGUGAUAAACUGGAAGAAGGAGGGGAUGAUGGCAAGUCAUCAUGGCCCUUAUGUAGUGGGCUACACACGUGC